rnacentral:lncRNA from 1 species
CUACUAGUGCCCAAUGCAGUGCCACCUUGAGGACCCACAAUUCGGACCAAUGUCAAUAGGGGAUGUGCAUGGAACUUGCACACCUUGCUCAAUGGAUGCCUAUCUGCAAGGGUGCCAAUUAUGAACGAAAUCGGUCUAUGUCAAACUCGGCUACAAGGUGGCUGAACUUUGAUCUUAUUUUACUCAGGGUGUGAUGCUGAAACUUGGACCAGUUGCAGCUCUUUCUUUAACCAUUUCAUAAAUAAAU